GACAAACGCUGGCGGCAUGCCUAACACAUGCAAGUCGAACGGACAGAACAGGGAAGCUUUUCGGAGUGGAACUGGAAAGUUAGUGGCGGAUGGGUGAGUAACGCGUGGACAACCUACCUUGUAAAGGGGAAUAACCUCGAGAAAUCGAAGCUAAUACCCCAUAAUAACCUUGCUUCGCAUGAAGUAAGGAGGAAAGGCGGCCUUAGCGCUGUCGAUACAAGAUGGGUCCGCGUCUGAUUAGCUAGUUGGUGAGGUAAAGGCUCACCAAGGCGACGAUCAGUAGCCGGCCUGAGAGGGUGAACGGCCACAUUGGGACUGAGACACGGCCCAAACUCCUACGGGAGGCAGCAGUGGGGAAUCUUCCGCAAUGGGCGAAAGCCUGACGGAGCAAUGCCGCGUGAGUGAAGAAGGCCUUCGAGUUGUAAAACUCUGUCCUUAUCGAAGAGAGAGUGUUGUAGUAACUGACAAUACUAGGACGGUAGAUGAGGAGGAAGCCCCGGCUAACUAUGUG
rnacentral:rRNA from 1 species